rnacentral:sRNA from 1 species
AGGCAAGUGUACCUGCCUCCUUCUCUGCUCUAUGUGCAUCCUUCCCAAAGCUGCUCACUCAGUUAGAGACGAUGAGAAUCCCCACUGAAGGAGGACCAUUCUUCGGUCUUGGAUAUCUGAGUAGUAGUGCUCUCCUGCUAGAAACUUCAAACAAGCUAUCUCAAGAAAUUCAACUGCUCCAAGAACACCAUGCUGGAGAGGUCAUGGGUAGGGUUCAGGUCGACAGUCCCAGCUGAGCCCAGCCUUCUC